rnacentral:lncRNA from 1 species
GAUGCUGAAAAAUAUGCCUGCACUGGAGAGAUCCUGUGGCUCCGCUCCUGUCUCAAGGAACAGAUAAUUCCUGUAGACCUAAUCGAGUUACUACUUAAGUCGACCGGUGAGAAUUGCCUUGCUCUAUCGAGUCCGGCCUUUAGCAAAGUUACCCGAAUGCUAUGGUGUAAGCAAGGUGCGCGAAGGUGGUAGAGGGCAUUUACAAGCUUUGAUGAGUAGAUCUAUUGUAUCGCCUCCAUCUCCCAUCUCAUCUCCUCAGAAUGAAUUUGAGUCUAAGUUUCCGCCUGGAUUUUUCUUCUCUUUUAGACUAUGGAUUUGAGUUUGCUUCAGGAUUCGCAAUCGAUGAUGAUGCCAUUAUCAAUCAGAACGAAAGAAUUUGGCUUUUUGGCUCCAAAAUCUACCCAUUGGGUCUCAAAGAAUAGAUAAUUAUACCCACUUUACGACUCGAAGAAAUAUGAGCCAAAUUUGAGCCCGACACCUGACCAUUCUUGAAAGAG